rnacentral:rRNA from 1 species
GACGAACGCUGGCGGCGUGCCUAAUACAUGCAAGUAGAACGCUGAAGGAGGAGCUUGCUUCUCUGGAUGAGUUGCGAACGGGUGAGUAACGCGUAGGUAACCUGCCUGGUAGCGGGGGAUAACUAUUGGAAACGAUAGCUAAUACCGCAUAAGAGUAGAUGUCGCAUGACAUUUGCUUAAAAGGUGCAAUUGCAUCACUACCAGAUGGACCUGCGUUGUAUUAGCUAGUUGGUGGGGUAACGGCUCACCAAGGCGACGAUACAUAGCCGACCUGAGAGGGUGAUCGGCCACACUGGGACUGAGACACGGCCCAGACUCCUACGGGAGGCAGCAGUAGGGAAUCUUCGGCAAUGGACGGAAGUCUGACCGAGCAACGCCGCGUGAGUGAAGAAGGUUUUCGGAUCGUAAAGCUCUGUUGUAAGAGAAGAAUGAGUGUGAGAGUGGAAA